GACGAACGCUGGCGGCGUGCUUAACACAUGCAAGUCGAACGAAAAGAGGGAAAGAGCUUGCUCUUUCCGGAAUUGAGUGGCAAACGGGUGAGUAACACGUAAACAACCUGCCUUCAGGAUGGGGACAACAGACGGAAACGACUGCUAAUACCGAAUAAGUUCCAAGGGCCGCAUGGCCCAUGGAAGAAAAGGUGGCCUCUACCUGUAAGCUAUCGCCUGAAGAGGGGUUUGCGUCUGAUUAGCUGGUUGGAGGGGUAACGGCCCACCAAGGCGACGAUCAGUAGCCGGUCUGAGAGGAUGAACGGCCACACUGGAAUUGAGACACGGUCCAGACUCCUACGGGAGGCAGCAGUGGGGAAUCUUCCGCAAUGGGCGAAAGCCUGACGGAGCAACGCCGCGUGAGUGAUGACGGCCUUCGGGUUGUAAAACUCUGUGAUCCGGGACGAAAAGGCAGAGUGCGAAGAACAAACUGCAUGGACGGUACCGGAAAAGCAAGCCACGGCUAACUACGU
rnacentral:rRNA from 1 species